UGUGUGUUAGUGGAAGCGUCUGGAAAGGCGCGCGAUACAGGGUGACAGCCCCGUACACAAAAAUGCACAUGCUGUGAGCUCGAUGAGUAGGGCGGGACACGUGGUAUCCUGUCUGAAUAUGGGGGGACCAUCCUCCAAGGCUAAAUACUCCUGACUGACCGAUAGUGAACCAGUACCGUGAGGGAAAGGCGAAAAGAACCCCGGCGAGGGGAGUGAAAAAGAACCUGAAACCGUGUACGUACAAGCAGUGGGAGCACGCUUAGGCGUGUGACUGCGUACCUUUUGUAUAAUGGGUCAGCGACUUAUAUUCUGUAGCAAGGUUAACCGAAUAGGGGAGCCGAAGGGAAACCGAGUCUUAACUGGGCGUUAAGUUGCAGGGUAUAGACCCGAAACCCGGUGAUCUAGCCAUGGGCAGGUUGAAGGUUGGGUAACACUAACUGGAGGACCGAACCGACUAAUGUUGAAAAAUUAGCGGAUGACUUGUGGCUGGGGGUGAAAGGCCAAUCAAACCGGGAGAUAGCUGGUUCUCCCCGAAAGCUAUUUAGGUAGCGCCUCGUGAAUUCAUCUCCGGGGGUAGAGCACUGUUUCGGCAAGGGGGUCAUCCCGACUUACCAACCCGAUGCAAACUGCGAAUACCGGAGAAUGUUAUCACGGGAGACACACGGCGGGUGCUAACGUCCGUCGUGAAGAGGGAAACAACCCAGACCGCCAGCUAAGGUCCCAAAGUCAUGGUUAAGUGGGAAACGAUGUGGGAAGGCCCAGACAGCCAGGAUGUUGGCUUAGAAGCAGCCAUCAUUUAAAGAAAGCGUAAUAGCUCACUGGUCGAGUCGGCCUGCGCGGAAGAUGUAACGGGGCUAAACCAUGCACCGAAGCUGCGGCAGCGACGCUGAUGCGUUGUUGGGUAGGGGAGCGUUCUGUAAGCCUGCGAAGGUGUGCUGUGAGGCAUGCUGGAGGUAUCAGAAGUGCGAAUGCUGACAUAAGUAACGAUAAAGCGGGUGAAAAGCCCGCUCGCCGGAAGACCAAGGGUUCCUGUCCAACGUUAAUCGGGGCAGGGUGAGUCGACCCCUAAGGCGAGGCCGAAAGGCGUAGUCGAUGGGAAACAGGUUAAUAUUCCUGUACUUGGUGUUACUGCGAAGGGGGGACGGAGAAGGCUAUGUUGGCCGGGCGACGGUUGUCCCGGUUUAAGCGUGUAGGCUGGUUUUCCAGGCAAAUCCGGAAAAUCAAGGCUGAGGCGUGAUGACGAGGCACUACGGUGCUGAAGCAACAAAUGCCCUGCUUCCAGGAAAAGCCUCUAAGCAUCAGGUAACAUCAAAUCGUACCCCAAACCGACACAGGUGGUCAGGUAGAGAAUACCAAGGCGCUUGAGAGAACUCGGGUGAAGGAACUAGGCAAAAUGGUGCCGUAACUUCGGGAGAAGGCACGCUGAUAUGUAGGUGAAGUCCCUUGCGGAUGGAGCUGAAAUCAGUCGAAGAUACCAGCUGGCUGCAACUGUUUAUUAAAAACACAGCACUGUGCAAACACGAAAGUGGACGUAUACGGUGUGACGCCUGCCCGGUGCCGGAAGGUUAAUUGAUGGGGUCAGCGCAAGCGAAGCUCUUGAUCGAAGCCCCGGUAAACGGCGGCCGUAACUAUAACGGUCCUAAGGUAGCGAAAUUCCUUGUCGGGUAAGUUCCGACCUGCACGAAUGGCGUAAUGAUGGCCAGGCUGUCUCCACCCGAGACUCAGUGAAAUUGAACUCGCUGUGAAGAUGCAGUGUACCCGCGGCAAGACGGAAAGACCCCGUGAACCUUUACUAUAGCUUGACACUGAACAUUGAGCCUUGAUGUGUAGGAUAGGUGGGAGGCUUUGAAGUGUGGACGCCAGUCUGCAUGGAGCCGACCUUGAAAUACCACCCUUUAAUGUUUGAUGUUCUAACGUGGACCCGUGAUCCGGGUUGCGGACAGUGUCUGGUGGGUAGUUUGACUGGGGCGGUCUCCUCCUAAAGAGUAACGGAGGAGCACGAAGGUUGGCUAAUCCUGGUCGGACAUCAGGAGGUUAGUGCAAUGGCAUAAGCCAGCUUGACUGCGAGCGUGACGGCGCGAGCAGGUGCGAAAGCAGGUCAUAGUGAUCCGGUGGUUCUGAAUGGAAGGGCCAUCGCUCAACGGAUAAAAGGUACUCCGGGGAUAACAGGCUGAUACCGCCCAAGAGUUCAUAUCGACGGCGGUGUUUGGCACCUCGAUGUCGGCUCAUCACAUCCUGGGGCUGAAGUAGGUCCCAAGGGUAUGGCUGUUCGCCAUUUAAAGUGGUACGCGAGCUGGGUUUAGAACGUCGUGAGACAGUUCGGUCCCUAUCUGCCGUGGGCGCUGGAGAACUGAGGGGGGCUGCUCCUAGUACGAGAGGACCGGAGUGGACGCAUCACUGGUGUUCGGGUUGUCAUGCCAAUGGCACUGCCCGGUAGCUAAAUGCGGAAGAGAUAAGUGCUGAAAGCAUCUAAGCACGAAACUUGCCCCGAGAUGAGUUCUCCCUGAC
rnacentral:rRNA from 1 species